rnacentral:rRNA from 1 species
AGUGAGCGCUGGCGGUAGGCCUAACACAUGCCAGUCGAACGGCAGCACAGUAAGAGCUUGCUCUUACGGGUGGCGAGUGGCGGACGGGUGAGGAAUACAUCGGAAUCUACUUAUUCGUGGGGGAUAACGUAGGGAAACUUACGCUAAUACCGCAUACGACCUACGGGUGAAAGCAGGGGAUCUUCGGACCUUGCGCGAUUGAAUGAGCCGAUGUCGGAUUAGCUAGUUGGCGGGGUAAAGGCCCACCAAGGCGACGAUCCGUAGCUGGUCUGAGAGGAUGAUCAGCACAACUGGAACUAAGAAACGGUCCAGCCUCCUACGGGAGGCAGCAGUGGGGAAUAUGGGACAAUGGGCGCAAGCCUGAUCCAGCCAUCCCGCGUGGGUGAAGAAGGCCUUCGGGUUGUAAAGCCCUUUUUUUGGGAAAGAAAAGCAGCAGGUUAAUACCCCGCUGUUCUGACGGAACCCAAAGAAUAAGCACCGGCUAACUUCGG